rnacentral:rRNA from 1 species
GACGGAGGAUGCAAGUGUUUAUCCGGAAUCACUGGGCGUAAAGCGUCUGUAGGUGGUUUCAAAAGUCCACUGUUAAAGAUUGAAGCUUAACUUCAAAAAUGCCGUGGAAACUUUGAAACUUUGAGUAUGAUAGGGGUAGAGGGAAUUUCCAGUGGAGCGGUGAAAUGCGUAGAUAUUGGAAAGACCACCAAUGGCGAAGGCACUCUACUGGGCCAUUACUGACACUGAGAGACGAAAGCUAGGGGAGCAAAUGGG